rnacentral:lncRNA from 1 species
ACCCAUUCAAAUUCAAAUAAACAUAAAACACAAUGCAAACAAAUAAAAACUAAAACACCAAACCUAAUUAAACAUUUAAACUAAUCAACACAAAUAACCAAAAAGAGUUUAGAUCAAUACACAAUAUUUUCAUGUAAUGCUGAAUAAUAAACCAAAGUGUUUGAACUUUGAAGAGAGAAUUGAGAUUGAUAUCAACGCAGCAACAUGUCAUUUGAUGCCGAAUAAUAAUGCGGUAUAAACCACGGUUUCAGAAGAGGAUCAGGAAUCAUAGCCAUUUCAACAGAAAAAUCAUUAGCAUCUUCAGCAAC